rnacentral:rRNA from 1 species
GACGCUGGCGGCGUGCUUAACACAUGCAAGUCGAACGAUGAACCCACUUCGGUGGGGGAUUAGUGGCGAACGGGUGAGUAACACGUGGGCAAUCUGCCCUGCACUCGGGGACAAGCCCUGGAAACGGGGUCUAAUACCGGAUACGACCACUUCAGGCAUCUGAUGGUGGUGGAAAGCUCCGGCGGUGCAGGAUGAGCCCGCGGCCUAUCAGCUAGUUGGGGAGGUAACGGCUCACCAAGGCGACAACGGGUAGCCGGCCUGAAAGGGCGACCGGCCACACUGGGACUGAAACACGGCCCAAACUCCUACGGGAGGCAGCAGGGGGGAAUAUUGCACAAUGGGCGAAAGCCUGAUGCAGCGACCCCGCGUGAGGGAUGACGGCCUUCGGGUUGUAAACCUCUUUCAGCAGGGAAAAAGCGAAAGUGACGGUACCUGCAGAAGAAGCGCCGGCUAACUACGUGCCAGCAGCCGCGGUAAUACGUAGGGAGCAAGCGUGGUCAGAAAUUAUUGGGCAUAAAGAGCUCGUAGGCGGCCUGUCACGUCGGAUGUGAAAGCCCUGGGGAAUUAACCCCGGGUCUGCAUUCGAUACGGGCAGGCUAGAGUUCGGUAGGGGAGAUCGGAAUUCCUGGUGUAGCGGUGAAAUGCGCAGAUAUCAGGAGGAACACCGGUGGAGAAGGCGGAUCUCUGGGCCGAUACUGACGCUGAGGAGCGAAAGCGUGGGGAGCGAACAGGAUUAGAUACCCUGGUAGUCCACGCCGUAAACGUUGGGAACUAGGUGUGGGCGACAUUCCACGUCGUCCGUGCCGCAGCUAACGCAUUAAGUUCCCCGCCUGGGGAGUACGGCCGCAAGGCUAAAACUCAAAGGAAUUGACGGGGGCCCGCACAAGCGGCGGAGCAUGUGGCUUAAUUCGACGCAACGCGAAAAAUCCUUACCAACGCUUGACAUACACCGGAAACACCCAGAGAUGGGUGCCCCCUUGUGAUCGGUGUACAGUUGCUGCAUGGCUGUCGUCAGCUCGUGUCGUGAGAUGUUGGGUUAAGUCCCGCAACGAGCGCAACCACUUGUCCCAUGUUGCCAGCACGUCCCUUGUGGUGCUGGGGACUCACGGGAGACCGCCGGGGUCAACUCGGAGGAAGGUGGCGACGACGUCAAGUCAUCAUGCCCCUUAUGUCUUGGGCUGCACACGUGCUACAAUGGCCGGUACAAAGAGCUGGGAUACCGCAAGGUGGAGGGAAUUUCAAAAAGCCGGUCUCAGUUCGGAUUGGGGUCUGCAACUCGACCCCAUGAAGUAGGAGUCGAUAGUUAUUGCAGAUCAGCAUUGAUGCGGCGAAUACGUUCCCGGGCCUCGUACACCCCGCCCGCCACCUCACCAAAGUCGGUAACACCCGAAGCCGGUGGCCCAAUCCCCUUGUGGGAGGGAGCUGUCGAAGGUGGGACUGGCGACUGGACGAAG